UUUUCUUAAGAAACUUUCAGACAUUUAGAAUUAUUGACUGUUAAGCCCAGUCAGUACAGCAGAAAUAUUCUACAUAGAUCAUUGGUUGAAAUGCACAGUACAACAGUUGCGAGCACAUUGUCACAAGAGACACCUGCAUGAAUGGCAGUAAGUGUAACACAUCUGUCAAACAACAUUGCAAGCAUCUGCAAUGAACCAGUCUGGGAAAGACGGGAAAUUACCAGAACAUGAAACAAAGAUGUUAAAGUACAUGGGAAGCUGCUACAGUCACUUCUCUCCAGAGCCAUUUCUCCCAUUAGAGAGCCAGGAAACUUGAACCACUGCUUACCACCUGAAACUUCCCUCUCAUUCACAGGAAUCAGUGUCAUGCUUUUAUUUCCAGACCCGAGUCACUGUUUUGCUUGAACAGGGGCAAGGAAGAGAAGGACAAAUGCAGACCCCAUCUAGCAGAGUUCACUUCCCUAGACCUGCAUGGUCAAACAGCUUGAGAUUAGAGGUCUUGCCUGUAAAAAGGCCACAACAUUUGAAAAGAGAAACAAAACAGAGCUAAAAAACAAAACAUGGCUUCCUACAGCCUGCAAUAAAGCUAUAGUCGAUGGUACAGUAUUGUUCACAUGACACUUAUUAAGGCUUUGACUACUGGUCUUCUACAUGCACAUUUUAUAUACAUAUAUUCUUGUGUGUGUAUGUAUAAAUUACUUUAUUUUUCUUGUUCUAAGCAAGAAAAUAUUUUCAUGCAUUUGCUUCUCCUAGUAUUCACAAUACUUGGACCAUAUUCAGUUCAAGGACUUCUGGAGAGGGCUGGGUCUAUUUUAUUAUGCAUCUGGAAAUGCCCUCAUCUCCAGGAAUGUUGUUUGUGCCUGACUAGUGCUGGCCCUACAUUUCUCCACAGUCAUACACCAGAGAGGAGGUUUCACCCCAGAGCCUGACAGUACAUUGGUUAUGUAAACAUAGUAAUCCAUGGAUUAUAAAUAAUUAAAGCUAACAUGGAUUAAAGCUAACACACCUCAGCUUUUAGCUCAGAAUUGCCCAUGAGUGCCUUAAUGAAAUAUCAUUCAGAAUAAAGUCUUUUUCUUCUCUUCCCCCCUCCCCAUAUCAACAGUUCAAUUUACAGUGGUUCCCUCAAAAGCAGAGUUUUCCCUAUUUCAUUCCCAAAGAAGUGCCAGGCUACCUGUUAAUUCUGCAAGCCCAUGGCUUAGUAGCUUCCAUGUACAUAAAUAACUGCAAUACAGAGCAUGUCUGAGCCUUACAGCUCAAAGUGCUUUAGUCACCAUCCUGCUUGCACCCCUGCCAUGAAGUUAAGAGACUGGGCCAUGGGCCAGUGAGGAACAGGGAGGAAGCAGAAACCAGCACAGCUCUCCCAUUCCUAGUCCCAUGCCUGGAGCUUGCACAUGUUUGAUACGUUCCAUCAGCUCACCAGAGCUGACCUGUAGCAUGGCCUCUGUCCCUCUGCCUCAUGAACACCAUGACUACCUCUGGCCCAAUAUUUCCUCUGGUGAGAUGCUCUGGCUAGCUGAUGUUGAAUAGCACUCCUAGGUUGCAGUGGGGAGCCCUGGGGAGAGCAGUUUAGCUGUAAAAAGGAAGGGCUCCCAGGGAAGUGGUACUAAGGAAAGGAAGCAGCAUAAACAAGGCUGAGAAAGCUAAUGUGGGUGGAGUAAGCAGGAGAGAUUCCUUAUUUAAGAUAAGGCCUGGACUGCUGCUACAGCUCUCUGAGCUGCAUUGCUUGGUGGUGUAACUGAAGCACGCGCUCAGCACUCCAAUUACUAAGUUUGCCACCAUCAGAGAGUCAUGCCUUGCACCCCACCACAGCACUUUUCUGUC
ensembl:lncRNA